AUGAGCUGGGAUAAAAUGAGACUCCAUAAAUCCAUGGGUGGCAUGGGGUUUAGGGACAUGAGGGCUUUUAACCAAGCCAUGUUAGCAAAACAAGCGUGGAGAUUGUUGGAUUCGCCGGAGAGUCUUUGUGCUCGUCUACUAAAGGCAAAAUAUUACCCUUCUGGACAUUUGUUGGACUCGGUAUUCUCGGCAAUGGUUCUUCAGUUUGGAAAGGUAUAUUGCAUGGUCUCGAUUUGCUUAAGAAAGGUGUCAUUUGAAGGGUGGAAAACAGUGCUGACAUUCGCACCUGGAGGGAUCCGUGGAUCCCCUGUCCCUCGACGUUUCGGCCUAUCUCGCCGAAGGGCAAUUGUCGCCUGA
rnacentral:rRNA from 1 species